AUUGAACGCUGGCGGCAUGCCUUACACAUGCAAGUCGAACGGCAGCACGGGAGCAAUCCUGGUGGCGAGUGGCGAACGGGUGAGUAACAUAUCGGAACGUACCCAGUAAUGGGGGAUAACUAACCGAAAGGUUAGCUAAUACCGCAUACGCCCUGAGGGGGAAAGCGGGGGAUCGAAAGACCUCGCGUUAUUGGAGCGGCCGAUAUCUGAUUAGCUAGUUGGUGGGGUAAAGGCCUACCAAGGCGACGAUCAGUAGCUGGUCUGAGAGGACGACCAGCCUCACUGGAACUGAGACACGGUCCAGACUCCUACGGGAGGCAGCAGUGGGGAAUUUUGGACAAUGGGGGCAACCCUGAUCCAGCCAUUCCGCGUGAGUGAAGAAGGCCUUCGGGUUGUAAAGCUCUUUCGGCAGGGAAGAAACGGCCUUGGAUAAUACCCAGGGUCAAUGACGGUACCUGAAGAAGAAGCACCGGCUAACUACGUGCCAGCCGCCGCUUAA
rnacentral:rRNA from 1 species